AGUGAACGCUGGCGGUAGGCCUAACACAUGCAAGUCGAACGGCAGCACAGUAAGAGCUUGCUCUUACGGGUGGCGAGUGGCGGACGGGUGAGGAAUACAUCGGAAUCUACUUUUUCGUGGGGGAUAACGUAGGGAAACUUACGCUAAUACCGCAUACGACCUACGGGUGAAAGCAGUGGAUCUUCGGACCUUGCGCGUAUGAAUGAGCCGAUGUCGGACUAGCUAGUUGGCGGGGUAAAGGCCCACCAAGGCACCGAUCCGUAGCUGGUCUGAGAGGAUGAUCAGCCACACUGGAACUGAGACACGGUCCAGACUCCUACGGGAGGCAGCAGUGGGGAAUAUUGGACAAUGGGCGCAAGCCUGAUCCAGCCAUACCGCGUGGGUGAAGAAGGCCUUCGGGUUGUAAAGCCCUUUUGUUGGGAAAGAAAAGCAGCAGGUUAAUACCCCGCUGUUCUGACGGUACCCAAUGAAUAAGCACCGGCUAACUACGUG
rnacentral:rRNA from 1 species